AACGUCUUGUCUCGAAGGACUAACAGAGUAACAAUGUCUCCAACAUAAUACCUUUGCAAGAAGCCAACUGCAAAUCUCAGGAGAGAAGUUGCAAACCUGAGAAGACUGAUUCAUGUAUACAUGUCCUGGAGGUUGCCCCCAAACUGCUCUUCAUAUUUAUCGAAUUAUAAAACAUCUUUAAGAAGCGACAGAAA